UACGGAAGGCAGCAGUGGGGAAUAUUGCACAAUGGGCGCAAGCCUGAUGCAGCCAUGCCGCGUGUAUGAAGAAGGCCUUCGGGUUGUAAAGUACUUUCAGUCGUGAGGAAGGUGUUAAGGUUAAUAACCUUAGCAAUUGACGUUAGCGACAGAAGAAGCACCGGCUAACUCCGUGCCAGCAGCCGCGGUAAUACGGAGGGUGCGAGCGUUAAUCGGAAUUACUGGGCGUAAAGGGCACGCAGGCGGUUAAUUAAGUUGGAUGUGAAAUCCCCGGGCUUAACCUGGGAAUGGCAUUCAAGCUGGUUAGCUAGAGUCUUGUAGAGGGGGUAGAAUUCCAUGUGUAGCGGUGAAAUGCGUAGAGAUGUGGAGGAAUACCGGGUGGCGAAGGCGGCCCCUGGGACAAAGGACUGACGCUCAUGUGCGAAAGCGUGGGGAGCAAACAGGAUUAGAUACC
rnacentral:rRNA from 1 species